rnacentral:rRNA from 1 species
UACGAAGGGGGCUAGCGUUGCUCGGAAUCACUGGGCGUAAAGCGCGCGUAGGCGGAUCGUUAAGUCGGGGGUGAAAUCCUGGAGCUCAACUCCAGAACUGCCUUUGAUACUGGCAAUCUUGAGUCCGGGAGAGGUGAGUGGAACUCCGAGUGUAGAGGUGAAAUUCGUAGAUAUUCGGAAGAACACCAGUGGCGAAGGCGGCUCACUGGCCCGGUACUGACGCUGAGGUGCGAAAGCGUGGGGAGCAAACAGGAUUAGAAACC